AGGUUAAGUUAAGAAGGGCGCACGGUGGAUGCCUUGGCACUAGGAGCCGAUGAAGGACGGUACUAACACCGAUAUGCUUCGGGGAGCUGUACGUAAGCUUUGAUCCGGAGAUUUCCGAAUGGGGGAACCCAGCCAACUUAGUCGUUGGUUACUCAUAAGUGAAUACAUAGCUUAUGAGAGGUAAACGUGGGGAACUGAAACAUCUCAGUACCUGCAGGAACAGAAAGAAAAUUCGAUUCCCUAAGUAGCGGCGAGCGAACGGGGAACAGCCCAAACCAUGAUGCUUGCAUUGUGGGGUUGUAGGACUGAACUUUGGAGUUACCAAAGUCGUUGAUAACUGAGUCAGUUGGAAUGCUGAACAAAACAGGGUGAAAGUCCCGUAAGUCAAAUCAAUGGCUCUUCGUUCAGGAUCCUGAGUACGGCGGAACACGUGAAAUUCCGUCGGAAUCUGGGAGGACCAUCUCCCAAGGCUAAAUACUACCUAGUGACCGAUAGUGGACCAGUACCGUGAGGGAAAGGUGAAAAGAACCCCGGAAGGGGAGUGAAACAGUUCCUGAAACCGUGUGCCUACAAUUAGUUAGAGCCCGUUAAUGGGUAAUAGCGUGCCUUUUGUAGAAUGAACCGGCGAGUUACGUUUGCAUGCGAGGUUAAGCUGAUAAGGCGGAGCCAUAGCGAAAGCCAGUCUGAAUAGGGCGUUUAGUAUGUAGAUGUAGACCCGAAACCAAGUGACCUACCCAUGUCCAGGUUGAAGGUGUGGUAAAACACACUGGAGGACCGAACCCGUGUAUGUUGAAAAAUGCUGGGAUGAGGUGUGGGUAGCGGUGAAAUUCCAAACGAACUUGGAGAUAGCUGGUUCUCUUCGAAAUAGCUUUAGGGCUAGCCUCGGAAUUGACCAUCAUGGAGGUAGAGCACUGUUUGGACUAGGGGCCCGUCUUGGGUUACUGAAUUCAGAUAAACUCCGAAUGCCAUUGAUGAAUUAUCCGGGAGUCAGACAGUGAGUGAUAAGAUCCAUUGUCGAAAGGGAAACAGCCCAGACCACCAGUUAAGGUCCCCAAAUUUAUGUUAAGUGGAAAAGGAUGUGGGGUUGCAUAGACAACUAGGAUGUUGGCUCAGAAGCAGCCACCAUUUAAAGAGUGCGUAAUAGCUCACUAGUCGAGUGACCCUGCGCCGAAAAUGUACCGGGGCUAAACAUAAUACCGAAACUGUGGAUGACCACUUAUGUGGUCAUGGUAGGAGAGCGUUCUAAGGGCGUUGAAGGUUGAUUGUGAGGACAACUGGAGCGCUUAGAAGUGAGAAUGCCGGUAUGAGUAGCGAAAGACAGGUGAGAAUCCUGUCCACCGUAUGACUAAGGUUUCCUGGGGAAGGCUCGUCCUCCAGGGUUAGUCGGGACCUAAGCUGAGGCCGCAAGGCGUAAGCGAUGGCCAACAGGUUGAGAUUCCUGUACUAGUUUAUUUUGUUUGAACGAUGGAGGGACGCAGGAGGCUAAAGGAUCCGCACGAUUGGAAAUGUGCGGCCAAGCAAUAAGUCUUGGUGUGAGUCAAAUGCUUGCACCUGUACGGACAAGUUGUGAUGGGGAGCGAAUUUAAGUAGCGAAGUCCUUGAUGUCACACUGCCGAGAAAAGCUUCUAGUGAGAAAUAAACUACCCGUACCGCAAACCGACACAGGUAGUCGAGGAGAGUAUCCUCAGGUGUGCGAGAGAACUCUCGUUAAGGAACUCGGCAAAAUGACCCGUAACUUCGGAAGAAGGGGUGCUGAUCUAACGAUCAGCCGCAGUGAAUAGGCCCAGGCGACUGUUUAUCAAAAACACAGGUCUCUGCUAAAUCGUAAGAUGACGUAUAGGGGCUGACGCCUGCCCGGUGCUGGAAGGUUAAGUGGAUGAGUUAGUACUUCUGUACGAAGCCCAGAAAUGAAGCCCCAGUAAACGGCGGCCGUAACUAUAACGGUCCUAAGGUAGCGAAAUUCCUUGUCGGGUAAGUUCCGACCCGCACGAAAGGCGUAACGAUCUGGGCACUGUCUCGACGAGAGACUCGGUGAAAUUAUAAUACCCGUGAAGAUGCGGGUUACCCGCGACAGGACGGAAAGACCCAUGGAGCUUUACUGUAGCUUGAUAUUGAGUGUUUGUACCGCUUGUACAGGAUAGGUAGGAGCCGUUGAAGCCGGAACGCUAGUUUCGGUGGAGGCAUUGGUGGGAUACUACCCUUGCUGUAUGAACCCUCUAACCCGCGCCACUCAGCGUGGCGGGAGACAGUGUCAGGUGGGCAGUUUGACUGGGGCGGUCGCCUCCUAAAAAGUAACGGAGGCGCCCAAAGGUUCCCUCAGAAUGGUUGGAAAUCAUUCAUAGCGUGUAAAGGCAUAAGGGAGCUUGACUGCGAGACUUACAGGUCGAGCAGGGACGAAAGUCGGGCUUAGUGAUCCGGUGGUUCCGUAUGGAAGGGCCAUCGCUCAACGGAUAAAAGCUACCCUGGGGAUAACAGGCUUAUCUCCCCCAAGAGUCCACAUCGACGGGGAGGUUUGGCACCUCGAUGUCGGCUCAUCACAUCCUGGGGCUGUAGUUGGUCCCAAGGGUUGGGCUGUUCGCCCAUUAAAGUGGUACGCGAGCUGGGUUCAGAACGUCGUGAGACAGUUCGGUCCCUAUCCGUCGCGGGCGUAGGAAAUUUGAGUGGAGCUGUUCCUAGUACGAGAGGACCGGAAUGGACAUACCGCUGGUGUACCAGUUGUGCCGCCAGGCGCAUCGCUGGGUAGCUAAGUAUGGCCGGGAUAAACGCUGAAAGCAUCUAAGUGUGAAGCCCCCCACAAGAUGAGAUUUCCCAUUCCUUUAUGGAAGUAAGACCCCUGAGAGAUGAUCAGGUAGAUAGGUUGGAAGUGGACGUGCCGUGAGGCAUGGAGCGGACCAAUACUAAUCGGUCGAGGACUUAACCAAG
rnacentral:rRNA from 1 species